ACAAGAAGCUGCGUGCGCGAGCAUCGCUCUUGUCAACAAUGAACCAAACCAUUCAAUCUCCUCAACAACGAUAAUGGAUAGGCACAUCCAAAUCUUCCUUCACAGGCUAUCCUUCGCCUCCAUCACCAUAGCCACCCUCACCCUUCUCCUCCUUUUUCUCCAAACCCCGCAGACCUGCGUCCCCCCCAACUCCCCUCCCAAACCCCACCUCAAAUUCCCCAGGUCCACCUGCGACUCCUCCCCACGUGAGCUCGUCCCCCUCGACAAGAAGAACCGCCGCCUCUGGUCCUCCAGGGCCUGGAAGUCCCAAGUCUCUUCCUUUUCUCACUUCUUCACCUCAAUCCGCCAUCUGGGUCUCCUCCAUAACCACUCCAAAGUCCUCUGUGUCUCCGCCGGGGCCGGCCACGAGGUCAUGGCCCUCUCCAAAGUCGGCAUUUCGGACGUAACGGGUGUCGAUUUGGUUGACUCGCCGCCUCUGGUGAGCCGGGCGGAUCCGCAUGACUUGCCGUUUUUCGAUGGUGCGUUUGAUCUGGUGUACACUGGGCAUUUGGAGGAGGCUCUGUUCCCGGCGAGGUUCAUUUCAGAGAUGGAGAGGUCGGUGAGGGAUAAUGGGGUGUGUGUGGUAGUUGUGCAAGAGUGUGGGCAUGAGGAGGUGAGGGAGAUUGCGGAUUUGUUUAGGCAUUCUUCUUUUGUUGGCGCGGCGAAUGUCAGUUUGAUUGGAUUGAGAAUGACAAGGAUUGUAAUGAGAACUAUAACUUGCUGCCUUGCUGGUCCUUCCAUGGAGCGAGACCCAAGUUACGCAUAGUUCUUUCAGCCGAAUUAAGAAAUAUGAAUCAGUUUUAGUGGAUUGGAAUGAUCUAAGGGUCUCAGUAUCCAUAAUUUUGACACUUGGACUCCCUGAGUUUUAUCCUAUGGUUUUGCAAAGAAUAGGUUCGAUGAAGAGGGCUUGAAUAUCAGUGGCAGGGUACAUUAUGAAAAAGUGGGGCUCAUUACUGCACUGUUUAUUCACAUAGACUGGACUCUGUAUCUCUGAUAUUUGCAAAUAUUUAAACACUCUUACGGAGCCUGCUGACUGGCCUGCUAAAUUAGAUAUCGCCAAAGGCACGGAUUUCGGCAUGCUACAUUAAAGGCUUUCUUUCAGGUUUUCAUAUCAUACUUGAAGCAGGGGGACUGUGCAGGAUUAAUCAAGAUUACAGUUCUGAAUAACAUUUGUGGAAACAGACUUGGGAAUGGGCAUAAUAUUCACGGUUUAACUGGGUGAAGCUUUUUAGAGAGGAGCUGUCCAUCUCCAGAAAAUGAUAUUUUCAACAUUUUCGGAAUGUAGUUAUGGCUUGCGAUAGCAAGUCAUUCGGGCAUCUUGAAUUCGAUACUAAUUAGAGAAAAUCCAUAGUUUUGAUACUUUUAUUCUGCUCAGGAAUUUCGUUGUUCCUGCAGUCAGGUUUAGCCCCGCGGCACCCAGCAAAAGAAGAGAAGAAGCACUCUUUUCUUUUGAGUAAUUGGUGCCUCCAACGGCAUAAUGAUGGUUACCGUUCAUAGUAUUUUCUGGUUAUUUUUAGGAAUUUUAGUUGGUGCUUAGGGAGUACUGUUAGUCACUCAAAUCUCCUGCCGUCUGUAAUUUAAGAGUGGCAAAUCAUGUUUUUGCAUUGUGUUUGUGUAGUAUCAAGUCAUGAACAUUAUACUAUAUAGGUCAACCUAAACCCAACUCAUUAAGCUAAACUUAUCAAACUUCUAAA